CAAGGUGAUUACCACCCAGCAAACUAUUGGAAAGAUGCUGAUAGCUUGUUUUUGAAGCUCUGAAGACAUGAAGAUUCAAGAAUAGAUCCGUCGAUGAAGAAAACAACACAUUUAAAGAUAUGGUGGUUGGUACUUCCAGUUUUGUUGUACUCUGUCAUUUACCAUUGUGGGAAUGACACUGCUCUAUUGCUUCCUUAUUUAAGAUAAUGGAGCACAUCAGUCAUACAGAAACAAUCAUAUGCUGAAGGAGGGACUUGGAACUUUCACUAAAAAAUGGUAAAUGGAGAGGCUCUGAUGUUGAGAUAAAAAGAAAUGACCGAUAUUUCAUUGGGAAGCGAGCUCAGCAAGACAAAAUAGUAUAAUCCUUACAUUUUCAGAUUACUCUUAUUUGCUUAUGCAUGUCCCUGUACAUGAUGUUUAAACGUAGAAAAAUAUUCAUUUGACACUGAAUGACCGAAAAUUAUAUUUUGUUUCUAUUUCAAAAAUUAAUUGACUAUGAAUGAGGAAGAUAUAUCGAUUAUUGCAUCCUGCUGUGUUAUUGUUGGGUGCAGCAAUUUCACAACUCCGGGAAGAGCUUCUGCGGCAGGACGUCACCUACGGCAUCACCUGCAUCGACCUCCCCGAUCGCCAUCCUAAGGAUGCGCGACCAACUUGCGGAGCAGGCCACGGUUGAUAAGUUCACCGAUUUUGACGACUCACUGUUCCCUUUCUCUGUCAAGGUAACGUUGCCCAUUGUUACUGGGUUGUUAAUUCAUGAGGCCCCUUAUUGCGGCUACAUAGUCUGUUCAUCUCACCUGCCUUCUUAGGAGAAACCAUGUAUUGAAGGUAAGCAAUUCUUUGUUUACAUUUCAUUUGUUUCUUCCUGCUGCAUGUACGAUUUGCUUUGGAGUUAUUCUGACUACGUGCAUUAAUUCUAGAUCCUACUUGCACAGUUGGUUGUAGUUUGUGUGUUGAGAAACAUCUCCUAAUUAAGUGUACAUUAAUAGUUGCAACUUCUGUUUGUUGAAUGUCCCAUGAUAGCUUUAGGCCUUUUGUUGUACAGAAUUGCCAAAGUAGGUGACAACCACCGGCAGCUCAAUCCUUGUUUUACUCGACACUGACAAGCUAAAGUAAAUGCGGAGCCAAGAUCUAUUGUUGUAAGCCUUUUGAGGGGUUAUACAAAGUAACAGUACUGCACUAUGAGUAUGCCCUUAGUAAGCUCUGAUUUUCCCUUUUCUGCAACACUAGCUUAUAGAAGGAUGAAUGGUGGCAAGUAGGACACCACUAUCUGAGAUUGCACAUUUAGGACCAUGGUGGCACACAAAAAAGGAAACUUGGUCUGAAAAAAAUUGCCAAAUGCUAGGAUCAACAUUUCUUUUCUAGAGCAUCUCC